AUUGAACGCUGGCGGCAUGCCUUACACAUGCAAGUCGAAUGGCAGCACGGGGCAACCUGGUGGCGAGUGGCGAACGGGUGAGUAAUGCAUCGGAACGUGCCAUUGAGUGGGGGAUAACGUAGCGAAAGUUGCGCUAAUACCGCAUAUUCUGUGAGCAGGAAAGCAGGGGACCGCAAGGCCUUGCGCUCUUUGAGCGGCCGAUGUCAGAUUAGCUAGUUGGUGAGGUAACGGCUUACCAAGGCGACGAUCUGUAGCGGGUCUGAGAGGAUGAUCCGCCACACUGGAACUGAGACACGGUCCAGACUCCUACGGGAGGCAGCAGUGGGGAAUUUUGGACAAUGGGCGCAAGCCUGAUCCAGCCAUGCCGCGUGAGUGAAGAAGGUCUUCGGGGUUGUAAAGGCUCUUUUCGGCCGGGAAGAAUCGCAUGGGUUAAUACCCUGUGUGGAUGACGGUACCGGAAUAAGAAGCACCGGCUAACUACGUGCCAGC
rnacentral:rRNA from 1 species